UACGUAGGUGGCAAGCGUUGUCCGGAAUUAUUGGGCGUAAAGCGCGCGCAGGCGGCCCUUUAAGUCUACCCGUGAAAUGCCGGAGCUCAACUCCGUGCACGCCGGGGGAUACUGGAGGGCUGGAGACGAGUAGAGGCAAGCGGAAUUCCGGGUGUAGCGGUGGAAUGCGUAGAGAUCCGGAAGAACACCGGAGGCGAAGGCGGCUUGCUGGGCUUGGUCUGACGCUGAGGCGCGAAAGCGUGGGGAGCGAACAGG
rnacentral:rRNA from 1 species